UACAGAGGGUGCGAGCGUUAAUCGGAUUUACUGGGCGUAAAGCGUGCGUAGGAGGCUUGUUAAGUCAAUUGUGAAAUCCCCGGGCUCAACCUGGGAAUUGCAGUCGAUACUGGCAAGCUAGAGUUCGGUAGAGGGUGGCGGAAUUCCGAGUGUAGCGGUGAAAUGCGUAGAUAUUCGGAGGAACACCAAUGGCGAAGGCAACCACCUGGGCCUGAACUGACUCUGAGGCACGAAAGCGUGGGUAGCGAACAGG
rnacentral:rRNA from 1 species